GUUCAAGAGGGGCUGCCACACAUGUCUCUGCAAUGCGGAAGGCAGUGUUGCCACUUGCACACCUAAAAACUGCGAAGCUGUCAGGACAACAACUGGCGAAACUGCACAACGAGUGAAACGUGCAGUACAGUUGGCAGGGCUGUGUCGACCGAAUUCGACGUUCAAGAGGAGCUGCAACACAUGUCUCUGCAAUGCUUUUGGCAGUGCUGCCACCUGCACACGCACAAACUGCGAAGUUGUCGGGAAAACAGCUGGAGACACGACAUCAAUUCAGUGCGCGCCGAAUUCAACAUUCAAGUACGGAUGCAACAUAUGUUACUGCGGUGGAAAUGGAACUGUGGUUGCCUGCACCCAAGCUGACUGUUCCAGACGUGGCCCUCCCAAGUAAGACCUGUUGGAUGCCCAGCGUCGUCUGCUCACCAUACUGGCAAUAUCUAACAGAGCUAUGGCGACGGGAACAUGGCAGAUGGAGAUUAGUACGUGAUUUUUAUCUUUUCAGCAAUUUACGCU